UAUUUUGGAGUAUUUUCCCAGGUUUGCAGGCUGAUAUUUUGGAGUAUUUUCCCAGGUUUGCAGGCUGAUAUUUUGGAGUAUUUCCCCAGGUUUGUAGGCUGAUAUUUUGGAGUAUUUUCCCAGGUUUGUAGGCUGAUAUUUUGGAGUAUUUUCCCAGGUUUGCAGGCUGAUAUUUUGGAGUAUUUUCCCAGGUUUGCAGGCUGAUAUUUUGGAGUAUUUCCCCAGGUUUCCAGGCUGAUAUUUGGAGUAUUUUGGAGUAUUUACCCAGGUUUGCAGGCUGAUAUUUUGGAGUAUUUUCCCAGGUUUGUAGGCUGAUAUUUUGGAGUAUUUUCCCAGGUUUGUAGGCUGAUAUUUUGGAGUAUUUUCCCAGGUUUGCAGGCUGAUAUUUUGGAGUUUUUUCCCAGGUUUCCAGGCUGAUGUUUUGGAGUAUUUUCCCAGGUUUGCAGGCUGAUAUUUUGGAGUAUUUCCCCAGGUUUGUAGGCUGAUAUUUUGGAGUAUUUCCCCAGGUUUGUAGGCUGAUAUUUUGGAGUAUUUUCCCAGGUUUGUAGGCUGAUAUUUUGGAGUAUUUUCCCAGGUUUGUAGGCUGAUAUUUUGGAGUAUUUUCCCAGGUUUGCAGGCUGAUAUUUUGGAGUAUUUUCCCAGGUUUGCAGGCUGAUAUUUUGGAGUAUUUCCCCAGGUUUCCAGGCUGAUAUUUGGAGUAUUUUGGAGUAUUUACCCAGGUUUGCAGGCUGAUAUUUUGGAGUAUUUUCCCAGGUUUGUAGGCUGAUAUUUUGGAGUAUUUUCCCAGGUUUGUAGGCUGAUAUUUUGGAGUAUUUUCCCAGGUUUGCAGGCUGAUAUUUUGGAGUUUUUUCCCAGGUUUCCAGGCUGAUGUUUUGGAGUAUUUUCCCAGGUUUGCAGGCUGAUAUUUUGGAGUAUUUUCCCAGGUUUGCAGGCUGAUGUUUUGGAGUAUUUUCCCAGGUUUGCAGGCUGAUAUUUUGGAGUAUUUUCCCAGGUUUGCAGGCUGAUGUUUUGGAGUAUUUUCCCAGGUUUGCAGGCUGAUGUUUUGGAGUAUUUUCCCAGGUUUGCAGGCUGAUAUUUUGGAGUAUUUUCCCAGGUUUGCAGGCUGAUAUUUUGGAGUAUUUUCCCAGGUUUGCAGGCUGAUAUUUUGGAGUAUUUUCCCAGGUUUGCAGGCUGAUAUUUUGGAGUAUUUCCCCAGGUUUGUAGGCUGAUAUUUUGGAGUAUUUUCCCAGGUUUGUAGGCUGAUAUUUUGGAGUAUUUUCCCAGGUUUGUAGGCUGAUAUUUUGGAGUAUUUUCCCAGGUUUGUAGGCUGAUAUUUUGGAGUAUUUUCCCAGGUUUGCAGGCUGAUAUUUUGGAGUUUUUUCCCAGGUUUCCAGGCUGAUGUUUUGGAGUAUUUUCCCAGGUUUGCAGGCUGAUAUUUUGGAGUAUUUUCCCAGGUUUGCAAGCUGAUGUUUUGGAGUAUUUUCCCAGGUUUUGUAGAAAUAUUUCUAUAUUCUAGAUGUGUUCUAGCGUUGAC